rnacentral:rRNA from 1 species
UUUAAUGAGAGUUUGAUCCUGGCUCAGGACGAACGCUGGCGGCGUGCCUAAUACAUGCAAGUAGAACGCUGAGGUUUGGUGUUUACACUAGACUGAUGAGUUGCGAACGGGUGAGUAACGCGUAGGUAACCUGCCUCAUAGCGGGGGAUAACUAUUGGAAACGAUAGCUAAUACCGCAUAAGAGUAAUUAACACAUGUUAGUUAUUUAAAAGGAGCAAUUGCUUCACUGUGAGAUGGACCUGCGUUGUAUUAGCUAGUUGGUGAGGUAAAGGCUCACCAAGGCGACGAUACAUAGCCGACCUGAGAGGGUGAUCGGCCACACUGGGACUGAGACACGGCCCAGACUCCUA